GGAUGAGCUCGCGGCCUAUCAGCUGGUUGGUGGGGUAAUGGCCUACCAAGGCGUCGACGGGUAGCCGGCCUGAGAGGGUGGACGGCCACAUUGGGACUGAGAUACGGCCCAGACUCCUACGGGAGGCAGCAGUGGGGAAUAUUGCACAAUGGGCGCAAGCCUGAUGCAGCGACGCCGCGUGGGGGAUGACGGCCUUCGGGUUGUAAACCCCUUUCGCCCACGACGAAGCGUAAGUGACGGUAGUGGGAUAAGAAGCACCGGCUAACUACGUGCCAGCAGCCGCGGUAAUACGUAGGGUGCGAGCGUUGUCCGGAAUUACUGGGCGUAAAGAGCUCGUAGGUGGUUUGUCGCGUCGUCUGUGAAAUUCCGGGGCUCAACUCCGGGCGUGCAGGCGAUACGGGCAUAACUUGAGUGCUGUAGGGGAGACUGGAAUUCCUGGUGUAGCGGUGAAAUGCGCAGAUAUCAGGAGGAACACCGAUGGCGAAGGCAGGUCUCUGGGCAGUAACUGACGCUGAGGAGCGAAAGCAUGGGUAGCGAACAGGAUUAGAUACCCUGGUAGUCCAUGCCGUAAACGGUGGGCGCUAGGUGUAGGGGACUUCCACGUCUUCUGUGCCGUAGCUAACGCAUUAAGCGCCCCGCCUGGGGAGUACGGCCGCAAGGCUAAAACUCAAAGGAAUUGACGGGGGCCCGCACAAGCGGCGGAGCAUGUGGAUUAAUUCGAUGCAACGCGAAGAACCUUACCUGGGCUUGACAUACACCGGACCGGGCCAGAGAUGGUCCUUCCCUUGUGGCCGGUGUACAGGUGGUGCAUGGUUGUCGUCAGCUCGUGUCGUGAGAUGUUGGGUUAAGUCCCGCAACGAGCGCAACCCUUGUCUUAUGUUGCCAGCACGUGAUGGUGGGGACUCAUGAGAGACUGCCGGGGUCAACUCGGAGGAAGGUGGGGAUGACGUCAAAUCAUCAUGCCCCUUAUGUCCAGGGCUUCACACAUGCUACAAUGGUCGGUACAGCAGGUCGCGAACCCGUGAGGGUGAGCCAAUCCUCGUUAAAGCC
rnacentral:rRNA from 1 species